ACCUUCGUAGUGUAGUGGUCAGCAUGCUCGAUGCAUAUUCUAUAGACCCGUGGUUCAAGUCCCGGCGGGGGCA
rnacentral:tRNA from 1 species